rnacentral:rRNA from 1 species
GACGAACGCUGGCGGCGUGCUUAACACAUGCAAGUCGAACGGAAAGGCCCUGCUUUUGUGGGGUGCUCGAGUGGCGAACGGGUGAGUAACACGUGAGUAACCUGCCCUUGACUUUGGGAUAACUUCAGGAAACUGGGGUUAAUACCGGAUAGGAGCUCCUGCUGCAUGGUGGGGGUUGGAAAGUUUCGGCGGUUGGGGAUGGACUCGCGGCUUAUCAGCUUGUUGGUGGGGUAGUGGCUUACCAAGGCUUUGACGGGUAGCCGGCCUGAGAGGGAGACCGGCAACAUGGGGAGUGAGAUACGGCCCAGACGCCUACGGGGGGCAGGGGUGGGAAAUAUUGCACAGUGGGCGGAAGCCUGAUGCAGCAGCGCCGGGUGCGGGAAGGCGGCCUUCGGGGUGUAAACCGCUUUCGCGUGUGACGAAGCGUGAGUGACGGUAAUGGGUAAAGAAGCACCGGCUAACUACGU